rnacentral:rRNA from 1 species
GGGGAAUAUUGCACAAUGGGCGCAAGCCUGAUGCAGCCAUGCCGCGUGUAUGAAGAAGGCCUUCGGGUUGUAAAGUACUUUCAGCAGUGAGGAAGGUGGUGUCGUUAAUAGCGGCAUCAUUUUGACGUUUAGCUGCAGAAGAAGCACCGGCUAACUCCGUGCCAGCAGCCGCGGUAAUACGGAGGGUGCGAGCGUUAAUCGGAAUUACUGGGCGUAAAGCGCAUGCAGGUGGUUUGUUAAGUCAGAUGUGAAAGCCCGGGGCUCAACCUCGGAAUUGCAUUUGUAAACUGGCAGACUAGAGUACUGUAGAGGGGGUAGAAUUUCAGGUGUAGCGGUGAAAUGCGUAGAGAUCUGAAGGAAUACCGGUGGCGAAGGCGGCCCCCUGGACAGAUACUGACACUCAGAUGCGAAAGCGUGGGGAGCAAACAGGAUUAGAUACCCUGGUAG